rnacentral:tRNA from 1 species
AGUGGCUGAGAACUUGGCUGCUAACCAAAAGGUCGGUGGUUCAAAUCCACCAGCCACUC